UAGGAUAAAGUGUAAUAUGGUAGCAGAACGAAUUUCAAAUUCAUAAGGGUAGGUUCAAUUCCUAUAAUUCUAG
rnacentral:tRNA from 1 species